AGAUUGAACGCUGGCGGCAUGCCUAACACAUGCAAGUCGAACGGGAGUAGCAAUACUCUAGUGGCGGACGGGUGAGGAGUACGUAGGAAUUUGCCCUUAAGUGGGGGAUAACCCGGGGAACCCGGAUUAAUACCGCAUGACCUCGAAAGAGCAAAGUGGGGGAUCGCAAGACCUCACGCUUUUGGAGAAGCCUACGUCGGAUUAGCUAGUUGGUGAGGUAAUGGCUCACCAAGGCGACGAUCCGUAACUGGUCUGAGAGGAUGAUCAGUCACACCGGAACUGACGACACGGUCCGGACUCUACGGGAGCAGCA
rnacentral:rRNA from 1 species